UAGAGCUAAGGCUAAAAUUACAGGACUUACGUUUUACAAUAUCCCAAAAAAAACAAUGAAAGAAGACAGAGGUGGGUCGCUGCCAUUAAAAGGGAUCACUGGACUCCCAAAGAAAACACUCCAGACUCUGUGCUGAGCACUUCAUCUCAGGUGAUAAAGUUUUGCGUCGGUGACCCAGCCUGAGGUGAAGUACCGAUGGACUCACAGCACAGACAAAAGACCAGGCUCUGAAAGUGGCAAAAUGAGACAAGAAUGCACAGUGCAGAUCUGUUUCAUGCUUCUUAUCUCCUGAAGGUCACAUUGUUGACAACUGUCAACCAUCUACUUGGCUCCUAGACGCUACGCAUCUUUGACCAAGCUUCUGCAGAGUGAGACAUUCAGAUGUAAUGGAAACUUACAUUCUUUCUCUUCUCUCAUAUAUGCUAUCUGCAUUUACAUAUGUGACUU